rnacentral:rRNA from 1 species
CACGGGGGGAGCAAGCGUUGUUCGGAAUCACUGGGCGUAAAGGGCGUGUAGGCGGUCAGGUAAGUGAGACGUGAAAUGCCCCGGCUUACCCGGGGACCUGCGUCUCAUACUGCUUGGCUUGAGUACGGGAGAGGGUGUGGGAAUUCCUGGUGUAGCGGUGAAAUGCGUAGAUAUCUGGAGGAAUACCGGUGGCGAAGGCGGCAUCCUGGACCGGCAUUGACGCUGAGGAGCGAAAGCCAGGGGAGCAAACGGG